rnacentral:rRNA from 1 species
UACGGAGGGUGCAAGCGUUGUUCGGAAUUACUGGGCGUAAAGCGCCUGUAGGCGGUUAGAGAAGUUGGGUGUGAAAGCCCCGGGCUCAACCCGGGAAUUGCGCCUAAAACCAUCUAGCUUGAGUGCCAGAGGGGUACGUGGAAUUCCCAGUGUAGCAGUGAAAUGCGUAGAUAUUGGGAGGAACACCGAUGGUGAAGACAACGUACUGGAUGGUAACUGACGCUAAGAGGCGAAAGCGUGGGUAGCAAACAGG